GGAGUCUUGGGCUUGACUAGCUUGUAACUGUGCAUUUAAUUUCCUUGAAAGCGCACAUGUAGCCACAAUUUUUUGUGCAAGCAUUUUUACUCGUCGUAUCCUAGGUUGAGGGGUAGUGCUAGGUUGAGGAGUAGUAGAGGAAUCAGAGGGGGUAGGUGGUGGAGGUGUACCAAGGUUAUCUUGAGGGUUAGUAAUUUAUCUUGAUU
rnacentral:lncRNA from 1 species